CUUUGGGACCUAUGCAAUGGAGCCCCAUGAAUCCUGUCAGGCCUGAGAAGGAGCAGCAGUAAGUGGUAUGUUUCAUGUGCCAUAGUGAAUCCUGAAGGCU
rnacentral:SRP_RNA from 1 species